GAUGAACGCUGGCGGCGUGCUUAACACAUGCAAGUCGAACGAAGCACUUUCACAGAUUUCUUCGGAAUGAAGUUUUAGUGACUGAGUGGCGGACGGGUGAGUAACGCGUGGGUAACCUGCCUCACACAGGGGGAUAACAGUUGGAAACGGCUGCUAAUACCGCAUAAGCGCACAGUACCGCAUGGUACAGUGUGAAAAACUCCGGUGGUGUGAGAUGGACCCGCGUCUGAUUAGCUAGUUGGCAGGGCAACGGCCUACCAAGGCGACGAUCAGUAGCCGACCUGAGAGGGUGACCGGCCACAUUGGGACUGAGACACGGCCCAAACGCCUACGGGAGGCAGCAGUGGGGAAUAUUGCACAAUGGGGGAAACCCUGAUGCAGCGACGCCGCGUGAGCGAAGAAGUAUUUCGGUAUGUAAAGCUCUAUCAGCAGGGAAGAAGAAAUGACGGUACCUGACUAAGAAGCACCGGCUAAAUACGUGCCAGCCGCCGCGGUAA
rnacentral:rRNA from 1 species